GACGUUUACUUUUGCUGGGGUAUUGCUCACUGUCUUUGGAAUUUUCCUCCUUUUCAGCUUGGACUCGCAUUGAAGCCGAUUUUCGAAGCUCCGAAGGAUACCGUAGUCUUGCAGCAGCUGCUGAACUUGGAGUGGUAGGCCUACUGCCAUUUGGGGUUGUUGGCCUACUUGACAUAGAGCCAGAGCGCAAUAAUGGAAAACGAUGAGGUGAAACUGUGCGCUUCUCUAAUUCUUU
rnacentral:misc_RNA from 1 species